rnacentral:rRNA from 1 species
UUAAAUUGAAGAGUUUGAUCAUGGCUCAGAUUGAACGCUGGCGGCAGGCCUAACACAUGCAAGUCGAACGGUAACAGGAAGAAGCUUGCUUCUUUGCUGACGAGUGGCGGACGGGUGAGUAAUGUCUGGGAAACUGCCUGAUGGAGGGGGAUAACUACUGGAAACGGUAGCUAAUACCGCAUAACGUCGCAAGACCAAAGAGGGGGACCUUCGGGCCUCUUGCCAUCGGAUGUGCCCAGAUGGGAUUAGCUAGUAGGUGGGGUAACGGCU